rnacentral:lncRNA from 1 species
AAAAAUAAAAAGGCUUCUUUUUUUUCUUUCUUUCUUCAGUUACAAUAACAGAACCAGAAAAUCAAAAGGAAAGGAAUAUCAAUUUGCAUUCAUAUUUUUCUCCAACUUUCUCACAUUAAUCUCCUUCCAUAAUCGUGCACUAAAGCAUAUAUGUAAUCAAAUUCGCUGAACAAUAGAAGAAAAAAAGGAGAAAACAUUGAUAGCAGGUAAAUUAUUAUUUUUUUCCAAUUGUAUUCAAAAGAUUUGUCUACUUCGUCUUCAUUUUUUGGUAAACCUUUUACAUUGAAAGGUAUAAUGUAUAAAUGUAUUUGUUUUUGUAUGUGGGUAUGAGAUCCGAUUUGAUGAAUGAAUACCAUUGUGAAUUCGUUUGGUUUCAUAUAUAUAUAUUUUUUAUUUGUAUAUGUACUGAUUUAAGAUUUUCUUCAAUUCAAAACAAAUGCCUGCUUCGUCAUGAAUUGUUGAAUUUUUAUUUUAAAAAAGAUAUAAAAAUUAAUUAUUGAUGAAUUAGAGAAUGAAACUGUGUAUGAUACAGUUCUUGACUAAUGAAUACAUACAAAUUUGGAUUCGAUUGAAUUCAUUAGGAUCUUCUUUUAUUUGUCUUUGAUUUCUGUGUGUAUCAUCCGAAUGAAGAUUUUAGUGUAUAUACCGAAUGAAGAUUCAUUGAAAUCGUCUUUUAUUGGUAUUUGACUUUAGUAUAUAUAGUUAGCAUAUGUUAUACAAAUAUAUAUGUUUGUGUGUUGGAGGGUGUACAACUGUACAUACAUACAGUGUUGUUUUGUGCUCUCCACUUUUUGAGCCUUAUUUACGAAUGUCAUGUGUUGGUAGGUAUAUAUACAUAUACUUGAUAUAGAUAAAAUUCAUUUGUAUAAAUUUUUGUAAUGUAUAAUGUAGGAACAGUGGAGUAUUCACUGUUGUAUGUUGAGUGUCUUAGCAUUGAAAAUGCUAUCGCAUCAGUAGAGUUGGAUGUGGAUCAAUUCCGUACCCGAUAUGAUGUGCUUCUAUAGGAUUACCAAACUAGGCCUAUCAAGCCACUUUUUGAGUGUGAUAGUAGUGCAAUGAUUGUAAUUUAGCAGACACUAGAAGUGAUUCUACUUUUAUUUUUUCAUCCUAGUUAGUUUUAAUUUCAAUAUCCGUUAAGACAUUUUAGUUGUUAUUAUUUACAUGACAAUGAAUCACAACUCAUUUAUGAUUUGAACUUUUUUUUCUUGAAUUAUGUUUAGGAUAUUUUAUUCAUGUUAUGUUGCAACGAAAAUCAUAUCCACAUUACGAUGCCUCUGAAUUCAUAUCAUUGUCAGCGUUUUGUAUAACAUAUGCAUUUUUAUUUAAUCGAUUUAAUAUGUCUUCUAGCUAUAUAUACAAAUAUUAUACUGUAUAUACAUUAUAUGUAUAUAUACUUUUAAAAAUGGUACACAGUCUUUUUAUAUACAUUAAACUUUGAAACUUAGAAGUCGGAUUAUAAAUAUGAUAUGUAUACGUUUUUUUAAUUAAGUACAUUUAUAUAUAAUUGUAUUUUAUAUAUGAAAUAUUUUCAUAUCUGUAUUUUAUAAAUAAAAUAUUUUCAUGCAUUUCAAAUGUAUUUUUGAAUACACAUUCACUUAUUUGUAUUUAGCUUGUAUGUAUAUAUAGUUGAUUGUAAUUUAUAAUCAUAAAUAAAAGUGUUAUUAAAAUAGAAGUAUGUAUAGCAACCACCAUUCAAUAUUUUCUUCAACUUUUUCAUAAUAGCCUCUUUCCAUAUAUGUAAUAAUAUCAGUGGAUUCUAUGAAAUUAAUCCAUAUAUAUAGAAUACAAAUGUAUACACAGAACAACUAAGUGUAUAUUUAUACAGAAGGGAAAUGAUAAAAUAUUGAAUAUUAAGGCUUUAAGUAUAUAUAAUCCAUAUACAAAAUACAUUAAGAAUAAUAGGCGAAGAUAUGUAUAUAUAGUUAAUCAAAUGGAUAUAUAAAAUAUAAAUUUAAGAACAUGUAUCUAUAGUUAAUCAAAUGAGUAUACAAAAUACAUAUGUUCAUACAAUUAUACACAAUUAAGCACAUGUAUAUACAAAAAAUUAAUAUAAUGAAUGAAAACACUCCACAUCCAAAGCAUAAAUGUAGACAUAAAACAUUUACAUGUCUAGAAUAAUUUUAUAUGUACAAAUAUAAAAUUUCAAACUGUAUAAAUGUAUAUAAAUUCACUGAGACAACAAAAAAAUUCAUAUUUUGAUAUAAAUUCUACGAUAUAACUAAUCAGAGAAGGAGGAAAGGUAACGAGGACCUUAAGCAAGAGGUUGGGGGUUCGAUCCCCACCUCUGGUGAAUGGAAAAACUCUGUGGCCAGUUUCCUAUCUCUUAGUGCGCUGCUGACCAUAGGAACGGAGAAUUAGUCUCACGGCUGCCGCUGUGGGGAUACUUUGAGAAACUAAAAUAAAGAAGGUGACAAGGACGAGGAUGAGGGAAUUUGCCUCCAUGAAAUUUCACCGGAGAAGUAGGCGGCAAGAAAGAAGAGUGUGGGAUUUGUCUUCUCGGAAUGAGUUAUCCCAUGAAUUUUAUCUUCCCCGUAAAUUUUCUAUUCUCUUCAUUCUAAUUAAUAUCUUUAUGCUGCAAAACAAGUGCAACAAUAUGUAACAAGUUUUUUCUUUUUGCAUUCAUUCAUAUUCUCUUUACGAGGAGAAAAAACUGGUUCAUGAACCACCAAGCCAUCUCUUAUUCUGUUUUCAUUGCCUAAAAAAUUUG